rnacentral:rRNA from 1 species
UGGGGAAUUUUGGACAAUGGGCGAAAGCCUGAUCCAGCAAUGCCGCGUGUGUGAAGAAGGCCUUCGGGUUGUAAAGCACUUUUGUCCGGAAAGAAAUCCUUGGCUCUAAUACAGUCGGGGGAUGACGGUACCGGAAGAAUAAGCACCGGCUAACUACGUGCCAGCAGCCGCGGUAAUACGUAGGGUGCAAGCGUUAAUCGGAAUUACUGGGCGUAAAGCGUGCGCAGGCGGUUUGCUAAGACCGAUGUGAAAUCCCCGGGCUCAAACCUGGGAACUGCAUUGGUGACUGGCAGGCUAGAGUAUGGCAGAGGGGGGUAGAAUUCCACGUGUAGCAGUGAAAUGCGUAGAGAUGUGGAGGAAUACCGAUGGCGAAGGCAGCCCCCUGGGCCAAAUACUGACGCUCAUGCACGAAAGCGUGGGGAGCAAACAGGAUUAGAUACCCUGGUAGUCCACGCCCUAAACGAUGUCAACUAGUUGUUGGGGAUUCAUUUCCUUAGUAACGUAGCUAACGCGUGAAGUUGACCGCCUGGGGAGUACGGUCGCAAGAUUAAAACUCAAAUGAAUUGACGGGGUCAUAGCUGUUUCCU